CUCCUUGCAACCUCCUCCCCGGGAGCCCGGCGCAGCAGUGUGUAUAUGGCACGUGUCGCAUGAUGCCCGGAGGUACAUUCGGCUGUGUGUGUAACCCGGGCUUCUCUCUCAGCCGGUCCAACCCCAACAUAUGUGAAGACCUUGACGAGUGCCAGAUGCCCACGUCCGGAUGUGUGCCAGGUACUUGUACCAACUCACCUGGUUCUCACACCUGCAGCGCCUGCACACAGGGGUAUUACCUGGACCCCUAUACCAAGCAGUGUCGAUCAUCAUACAAUAACAACAACCAGUGGCCCUAUUGGAUGUUCAUGGACUGGUUCUGGUAAAAUGUCCACGAUGACGUCAUCACCAGUGGGCCAGCUGCUGGGGGAGCCGGUGCACGAUGACGUAUACAAACAUACGCACUAUUUCUAUAAGCCAUAGGGCGUAUUCGGAAUCCAUGUAUUCGUUUGGGCUAGAUUUUGGACGUAAACAAAGAUGGUACAUAACAAGAUAGUUCACUCGACCAAAAAAGUGUCCGCGGAAGUCCGCGCAUUGGUUCAGAUGUCGCUGCAGUCUUUGUUAUAAAGCUCCCUUUCGUUUCUCCAGAAAAAGAAUAGGAAUAGCACCCCUUUUCGCAUCAGCUGUUCAGGUUCGCCCAGUGUGGAGUUUUGAGUUUAUUAUAUUUUAAUGGCAUCUCGCCUCUCGUUCUAAGCCAAAUUAAACGAAGAAAACUGUCGCCCCUUUCAUCUGAAGAGGAUUUUUGUUAGCGUAACUAUUUAAAAAGGCGCUGUUCCGAAAUUUUUAUUAUAAUUGAACAAAAACUUGUUAGUUUCCCUUUGAUUUUUUCCCACACAGUAAGAUAACUCCUUUCGUAAAGUGGGCGCUUUUUUCGAAGAGGGCACCUCCGGAUGUUGAGGACGCUUUUUUAAUCGUUUAAAGGAGAGAAGUGAACCAUUCUUGUUAUACAGAAUCUUUGACGUAAAACAGUAUUUUGUACAUACAGACCUCAGACAGAGUGUAAUUUGCAGAGGUUUGACAACCUUUGUUAAGCGAGAAAUAUGACAUCCAUUAAAAAAACAACACAACAAAAACUUUACAAAUAACAGUUAAAACAUUGACGCUAUAUUAACUUACGCCAAAUGACGACUGAACGAGACUGAUUAUGAAAUAAAAACACGACCCCAAAAAUUUCCCACAGUUAAAAAGAAAAGUGAUUCAAGAUUUUACAAUCUUUAUAAUGAAAGCUUGAGACAAAAGAAUAAAAUGCUUGAUUUUCCAUCCUUUGUGCUACGAUUCCUUUAUAUUGGGGGUUUUAAAUUUCGAGUGAAGAUACAUUACAAACGUUUAAUUGGUGCACUGUUUUCAUAACAUUUCCAUCGCAAACACUGCACAUUUGUGAACUUUCUUGAAAAUGUAAUCCUUAAUGUCUGUAUACUUCAAGUAUGUUGUAAAUUUAUCACAUAUUGAUUUAUAGGCCUACCAAACCAAACAUAAUCACAAACACACACACACACACACACACACACACACACACACA